rnacentral:lncRNA from 1 species
CUUUGCCUCAGGUGCUUCUAAGUGGGGAUAAAAGACAGUUGCCCCCUUAAGGCCCCAGGGAUUUCUGGGCCUCUCCCUGACUCAGGCUCCUGAGCCAGAUCUCAUAAUAAUAAUUUUGGUAUUUAAGUGCUUACUAUGUGCACUGGGUAGAUACAAGGUAAUCAGGUCGUCCCACAUGGGACUCACAAUCUUAAUCCCCAUUUUACAGAUGAGGGAACUGAGGCAAAGAGAAAUUAAGUGAUUUGCACAAAGCUGAUAAGUGGUGGAGCUGGAGUUAGAACCCAUGAUCUCUGACUCCCAAGCCCGGGCUCUUUCCACUGAGUCUCGCUCAUCUAAUCUACGUGUGGACAGGGGAUGGAGUUUGGCCUAUUCCUGGUCUUUGAGAUGCCAGAGGGGCUUAAAAAGAAAAAACAAAAUACAUUUUGGAGACAGAAAGAGAGGGUGACACCCCAGAGGCGGAGAGCACAGGCCUUCAUAUCUGAAGAUGACACUGAGAUUCCCAGAAAUCCCUGAUCCUGAGAUCACUGACCUGGAUGAAAUAAAGCGCUUGCCAAUUCAUAAAUUCUGCACGCAGUCAUCAAAAGUUGUCUCACUGUGGACAUGUUAUUUGUAAGUCCCCCGAGAAAGCACUUACCACCUUUAGAAAGCUAUUUAUUGAUCUAUCAAAUUCUUAAAGCUGAACCACUAU